AGUGAACGCUGGCGGUAGGCCUAACACAUGCAAGUCGAACGGCAGCACAGUAAGAGCUUGCUCUUACGGGUGGCGAGUGGCGGACGGGUGAGGAAUACAUCGGAAUCUACUUUUUCGUGGGGGAUAACGUAGGGAAACUUACGCUAAUACCGCAUACGAUCUACGGGUGAAAGCAGGGGAUCUUCGGACCUUGCGCGAUUGAAUGAGCCGAUGUCGGACUAGCUAGUUGGCGGGGUAAAGGCCCACCAAGGCGACGAUCCGUAGCUGGUCUGAGAGGAUGAUCAGCCACACUGGAACUGAGACACGGUCCAGACUCCUACGGGAGGCAGCAGUGGGGAAUAUUGGACAAUGGGCGCAAGCCUGAUCCAGCCAUACCGCGUGGGUGAAGAAGGCCUUCGGGUUGUAAAGCCCUUUUGUUGGGAAAGAAAAGCAGCAGGUUAAUACCCCGCUGUUCUGACGGUACCCAAAGAAUAAGCACCGGCUAACUUCGUG
rnacentral:rRNA from 1 species